rnacentral:rRNA from 1 species
AUUGAACGCUGGCGGCAGGCCUAACACAUGCAAGUCGAGCGGAUGAAGGGAGCUUGCUCCUGGAUUCAGCGGCGGACGGGUGAGUAAUGCCUAGGAAUCUGCCUGGUAGUGGGGGAUAACGUCCGGAAACGGGCGCUAAUACCGCAUACGUCCUGAGGGAGAAAGUGGGGGAUCUUCGGACCUCACGCUAUCAGAUGAGCCUAGGUCGGAUUAGCUAGUUGGUGGGGUAAAGGCCUACCAAGGCGACGAUCCGUAACUGGUCUGAGAGGAUGAUCAGUCACACAGGAAGUGAGACACGGUCCUGACUCCGACGGGAGGCAGCAGUGGGGAAUAUUGGACAAUGGGCGAAAGCCUGAUCCAGCCAUGCAGCGUGUGUGAAGAAGGUCUUCGGAUUGUAAAGCACUUUAAGGUGGGAGGAAGGGCAGUAAGUUAAUACCUUGCUGUUUUGACGUGACCAACAGAAUAAGAACCGGCUAACUUCGU